rnacentral:snRNA from 1 species
GUGCUAUUGCUCCAACCUACCUACUCACUUCAGCAGCACAUAUACUAAAAUUGGAAUGAUACAAAGAAGAUUGGCAUGGCCUGCUCUACUAUACCUUCUAAAAGAAAGACCAAAAAAGCAUUUGC